UACGGGGGGGGCGAGCGUUGUUCGGAAUCACUGGGCGUAAAGGGCGCGUAGGCGGCCCGCACAAGUCUGCGGUGAAAACCCCCGGCUUAACCGGGGGCCGGCCGUGGAAACUGUCGGGCUGGAGGCUGGGAGAGGGCAGCGGAAUUCCCGGUGUAGCGGUGAAAUGCGUAGAGAUCGGGAGGAACACCGGCGGCGAAGGCGGCUGCCUGGACCAGUCCUGACGCUGAUGCGCGAAAGCUAGGGGAGCAAACAGG
rnacentral:rRNA from 1 species